rnacentral:lncRNA from 9 species
AUGCCAGCGUACUGGGCAGGAACUGAACAUUCAAGAAGAGAGAGAAGAGGAAGAAGGCAGCAGAGCCUGGUGAGAGGGCACUGGAAAGCAUGCACCCCUGCCCUCUCCCAGCUGCUCCCCAGCCCUCUCCUAGCCUGCACCCCAGAGGGAAAAAAAGAAAACAAAAGAAAAAGAGAAGACACUACAGAACAUGUCCUUGUUUCACAAUGUCGUCAUCAUGUAAACGUGAAUCGAGUACAGCUUCCUGAGGUUGCACAGAGAGUUAAACUUCUGCUGGGAAAAGGCAAGAAGGGCCAAUGGCUGCGAGAUGACAGGUUCCAUAAAGGAAAUACUCUCUGACCAGGCCCUGAUGGCACAAGAUGAAAGUAUGUGGAAGGAAAGAUGGAUAUACCAAGAAGGUCUAUCCAAGAAGUCAGUAAAUAUGUGCUGAACAAAUAAUUUCGACUUCUUAAAUUCUCCAGUCAAGUUCAACAACAAAAAAAUAUUUGACUACCUGCAAAGUGUAAGCUAUGAUUUCUGUUCUUGUGUCCUUAAAAUUUCAGAGACCCCAAGUAAAGCCUAUUAGAGCAAAGCAGCCCUUCCAAGUAUUAAUUUAUAAUCAAUUUUGAAAGUAGCUGAGUUUAUUGUGUCCUAAUGUGAAAAUGAGCUAUUGGCUGUAUGCCAAUUAGCAGAUAAGUCUCCUAUCCCAACAGGUGAAAUAUGAGAUGCUGAAUAAUAAAGCCUGAAGUACAGUGCAGUAGGCCUGAGGAAACAAGUAAUGCAUCCUCUUAAAAUACCAUUCCCAGCAUCAUUUGCUGAGUCUUUUCUGUGCACCGGCCCUUUGCACCAUCUCCCGUAAUCUCACAGCACUCUGUAAGGUAAAUUUUAUUGUCUUCAUUUUGCAGAUGAGGAAAUUGAGGCUCAGAUAAAGUAAUCUAACAUCGCAUCGUUAAUAAGUGGUUGAACGAGGCUUUAAUUCCCAGUCAGCUAGAUUUCAGAGAACCUGAGAGAGAAGCAAAGAGAAGGUAAUAAUUUUUAAAGAAUGAAUCUCCACCUUCUGAAACCUGGUAGCAAGUCUUGCCUUUAUUGUGG